rnacentral:rRNA from 1 species
AGCUAGUUGGUAAGGUAAUAGCUUACCAAGGCAACGAUCAAUAGCUGUUCUUAGAGGAAGACCAGCCACAUUGGGACUGAGACACGGCCCAAACUCCUACGGGAGGCAGCAGUGGGGAAUCUUGCACAAUGGGGGAAACCCUGAUGCAGCGAUGCCGCGUGAGUGAAGAAGGCCUUUGGGUUGUAAAACUCUUUCGUCGGGGAAGAAAAUGACUGUACCCGAAUAAGAAGGUCCGGCUAACUUCGUGCCAGCAGCCGCGGUAAUACGAAGGGACCUAGCGUAGUUCGGAAUUACUGGGCUUAAAGAGUUCGUAGGUGGUUAAAAAAGUUGAUGGUGAAAUCCCAAGGCUCAACCUUGGAACUGCCAUCAAAACUUUUUAGCUAGAGUAUGAUAGAGGAAAGUGGAAUUUCUAGUGUAGAGGUGAAAUUCGUAGAUAUUAGAAAGAACAUCAAAAGCGAAGGCAACUUUCUGGAUCAUUACUGACACUGAGGAACGAAAGCAUGGGUAGCGAAGAGGAUUAGAUACCCUCGUAGUCCAUGCCGUAAACGAUGUGUGCUAGACGUUGGAAACUU